GAUCCAGCCAUGCCGCGUGUGUGAAGAAGGCCCUCGGGUUGUAAAGCACUUUCAGCGAGGAAGAACGCCUAGCGGUUAAUACCCGCUAGGAAAGACAUCACUCGCAGAAGAAGCACCGGCUAACUCCGUGCCAGCAGCCGCGGUAAUACGGAGGGUGCAAGCGUUAAUCGGAAUUACUGGGCGUAAAGCGCGCGUAGGUGGCUUGAUAAGCCGGUUGUGAAAGCCCCGGGCUCAACCUGGGAACGGCAUCCGGAACUGUCAAGCUAGAGUGCAGGAGAGGAAGGUAGAAUUCCCGGUGUAGCGGUGAAAUGCGUAGAGAUCGGGAGGAAUACCAGUGGCGAAGGCGGCCUUCUGGACUGACACUGACACUGAGGUGCGAAAGCGUGGGUAGCAAACAGGAUUAGAUACCCUGGUAGUCCACGCCGUAAACGAUGUCGACCAGCCGUUGGGUGCCUAGCGCACUUUGUGGCGAAGUUAACGCGAUAAGUCGACCGCCUGGGGAGUACGGCCGCAAGGUUAAAACUCAAAUGAAUUGACGGGGGCCCGCACAAGCGGUGGAGCAUGUGGUUUAAUUCGAUGCAACGCGAAGAACCUUACCUACUCUUGACAUCCUGCGAAUUUGGUAGAGAUACCUUAGUGCCUUCGGGAACGCAGAGACAGGUGCUGCAUGGCUGUCGUCAGCUCGUGUUGUGAAAUGUUGGGUUAAGUCCCGUAACGAGCGCAACCCUUGUCCUUAUUUGCCAGCGCGUAAUGGCGGGAACUCUAAGGAGACUGCCGGUGACAAACCGGAGGAAGGUGGGGACGACGUCAAGUCAUCAUGGCCCUUACGAGUAGGGCUACACACGUGCUACAAUGGUCGGUACAAAGGGUUGCCAACUCGCGAGAGUGAGCCAAUCCCGAAAAGCCGAUCUCAGUCCGGAUCGGAGUCUGCAACUCGACUCCGUGAAGUCGG
rnacentral:rRNA from 1 species